UACAGCAGCCAUAUCACCCUGCAACUCAUAGCUAGCGACCCACUGAACCUACGCAGGUGUGAGCCUGGUCUGUACCUGGAUGGGAGACCUCCUGGGGAAAAACAAAGGUGCUGCUGGAA
rnacentral:rRNA from 1 species